AACAGGCGAGGUCGGAAAUGGUUCCCGACACACCCGAAAGGGUACCUGAGAUGCAGGAUACACCGCCCUGCCGCUUGUU
rnacentral:ncRNA from 1 species